GCCUUGAAGCAUAAGUUUCAAGAUCUAAUAGACAAUGGUGAGAUCGUGGUCACUAAACCCGAUCAACCUCACGUUCAAGACAACCCUCUUCCUCAACACAAAGAAGAAGAGGUCAACAUGAUCAGUUAGAGCACUGGACAUGGUUCCAAUUCUACUGGUGAAUCAUCCCAACCCAUCAAAGAUGGUGUUGACAAAUGGGAUUAUGCAG
rnacentral:lncRNA from 1 species